UACGUAGGGCGCAAGCGUUAUCCGGAAUUAUUGGGCGUAAGAGCUCGUAGGCGGUUUGUCGCGUCUGCCGUGAAAGUCCGGGCUCAACUCCGGAUCUGCGGUGGUACGGGCAGACUAGAGUGAUGUAGGGAGACUGGAAUUCCUGGUGUAGCGGUGAAUGCGCAGAUAUCAGGAGGAACACCGAUGGCGAAGGCAGGUCUCUGGCAUUAACUGACGCUGAGGAGCGAAGCAUGGGGAGCGAACAGG
rnacentral:rRNA from 1 species